UUUCUUCUGUUUAAGUUAGGGGUUGGAUGAGAUUGGCCAUUCUCAGUGACAGGCCAGCUGUGGUUUUCUAGAGAGCAAUUAAAAGAUUUUGAAGAGGUUACUUUAGCAGGAAGAUUAAGUUCAGUUGGUCACACACUCUGCUGUGUGAGAGACAGCCCUGGAGAGCCUUUAACCACUGCUGACAGAUGGCCCCUGAGUUCCUUGGUGCUCAUAGUGAGAAGGUCUGAAUUAUGUCCCUGGUAGAUGCAUCCUUAUUAGAUUAGCAGAGUGAAAUAGAGCUCCUGUUUCCCCUUCACACACUCUCUGCUUCCUUGGCAUGGCUUUGAUGUCACAAAUAGAUUUUAGAGGCAUGGACUGACCUCCUCCACAGUUACUUCUAUGCCAAGACCUGCUGCUUUUCAUCAUCCUCAACAGCUGAACAGAGCAUGUUUUCAUAAGGGAACAUUGGUGUCCAAGAACAUUUCCAGUGAAAGAAGCAGGUUACUGAGUCUUCCAGCUGGGACAGAUUGGGGAGGAGAGCCCAAGAAUCGGGGAAGAUGCAGAUGAAAGACACAGUAUGGGAUAUUCCUUCAACACAUGACUAGAGUAGAGCUGCUUUCCUAUAGGGAGAAGGCAUGGGGUCUGUAUAACUGCAUCACAGAAUGGUUGAAGCUGGAAGUGAUCUCUGGAGGUCACCUUGUGUUACCUGCUCAAACAGGGCCAUCCAUAACCCAUAGCUCAGGAGCUGCUCAGGACCAGGCUCUUGUACACCCCUGGGAAGGAGACUCCACAGCCUCUCUGGGC